CCGAAGAACUGGAGUAAAAAAUUUUGGAACAUUGGCAGGAGCAUCAGUCUAUUUAAUGUGUCAUCUGAACUGUACCACAACCGGAUGGAGAAAGAGAAGAGUUGGAGAGAAAUGGCCAAUUCUCUUGGACAGUCAGCACUUUGUUGAUGGCUGGCCGACACCCACUCACCCUGAUCCUCUGCCAGCAUUGACAUAUGGUCGAAGUAACUUACACCAGCAAGACGUCCGCCAAAGUUGCGAACAGUGUCAGUGCCACCAAGGAAAAUACUACGAGUUGACAGCAUGCCAGACAAUUCUGAAAAUAUCAGAGUCAGGUGUGAUCUACAAGGGGUUUCCCUGGAUAUUACAAGAGAGAUGGCAACAGAAUCAUUAAUGGAGGGCACUAUGGUCACUGAAAUGGUUUUGAAUCUUUCAUGUCAGGAGAUGUACCUAAAUGGCAGGCAUUGGGAUUGACGACAAAGCCACACAUGAAGACUUGGUUUCCUGUGACUUCUGUGUUUUGGGCUGCAUCAACUGGCUCAAGCUCCAGAGUGCACAGAUGACCAACCCCAGAUGAAAGAAACAGUAGGAAGUGGAAAGAUUGAGGACUACCUACUCAAAAAGAAAAAGAAAAUGACUUUCUAAGGGAGAAAAUACAAACUCACCAGGCUCUUACCCACUAACACCAGAGACUAUAAAUAACAACAGUGUCUUUAACUUCUUCAGAUACUGCACUGGGCUCACUUACAAUGCAUUUAUCAAACUGUGCAGAUUUUUCAGACUACCAGAUAAUGAAACAGUCCCACAAACACACAUCCCCUUGACAUAUAAGAAACUGAACAGGUACAUCCACCUUAUGCCAUUACGUCAACAAUUUCUACUUGUACUUAUGAGACUAAGACAAAAACUUCGACCUGAAAGAGCUAGCUUUCAAAUUGAUAUGCAAAGUGUUAGCACUUUAUUCAGUUAAUGGAUUGACUUCAUGAAUGGCAGGCAUGAAGUCAUAUGUCUGUUUGGCCACACAGGAACAUCAUCACAGAAAACAUGCCAAACAGCUACAAAGGAGAGUUUCCAACAACUUCUGCAAUUCUUGAUUGCACAGAGAUAAAGAUAGAGAAACCCAGCACACUGUUAGUACAAAGGCAGACUUAUUCUAACUAGUCUACUAACACACUUAAGUCUCUGAUAGUCUGUGAUCCUCGUGGCUCCAUUAUGUUUGCAUCAGCACUUUACACAGGAUACAUUUUUGACAGAGAUAUUUAGACAAUGCAAAAUCAAAGAUUACUGAAAGGUCUGCUUCAGUGUGGCUACCUUAAGAGAGGUGAUGGGCUCAUGGUGGAUAAGGGGUUUCUCAUUGAGAAAGAUUUGAAAGGUCUUGGCCUUAAACUAAACAUUCCUCCAUUUGCAAAGACAAAUCUUCAAAUGCCAGUCCCAGAUGUUGAGAUAAAAAAGAAAAUAGCCAAUCACCAGGUGCAUGUAGAAAGAGCAUUAGCCAAAGUCAAAACAUUUAAGAUAGUAUCUGUUAGGAUCCCUAAUUCCAUGUUAGGAGAUAUAAAUCAGAUAUGGGUGUUUUUGUUCUAGUUUCCAGUAACACAUCAUUAAGGCAUAGGCUGCUGAAGAAAUCACAUUGGGAGAGCAAAGUGCUGCAGUUAACACCUGUGGCCGUGAUUUCUCUCUGUCUGUGUCACGAUUCACUGUUGUCUGCCCUGUGUUUUGCCUCUGUCGUCUGUUCCCCAUGGACUACACUUCCCAUAUUCCCUGCCCUCAUCACUGCCAGCUGUCUUCUAUUGUCCUCACCUGUGUUUCAUUUACUCAUUAGUCUUUUUGUAUAUAAUACCCUGUUGGUUGCUUGUUCUUUGUCCGUUGUAGAAUGUACCUGAAUGUAUUUUGCUCUUCGUGGAUGGUUUCUCCUGUUUAUGGUUUUCUUUCCCCAUCAUGGAUGUUUUAUUUGUUCCUGUGUUUACCCAUUAUUUUGUACUUGUUUGUUUCUGUUCAUUAAACUCUUUUGCCGCACCUAGAUCCAGCUCCUGAACUUCCUUCCUAUUAGUUACAGAACAACUGACCAAAAAUGGAUCUAGCGGCGUACUUCACAGAACUAAGCCAGGCGGGUUUGACAAUUCGGGAGUUCUCCCAUUUCUUCUCCACCGUAGCCAUCCACACCGGUCUUGAUGACACUACCCUGAAGGAAGUCUAUCGGAUCGGACUACCAACACGCCUGUGGAGGGAAUUGCUGAAGACCGGAGAUUAUACAUGGAGGGAGUAUGUGGGGCUAGUUUUGGAGACAAUCGCUGCAGAGGAACCACCUCUCUCAAUCCCGGUUUCAGCUUCUGAGCAUUCCACGGCCAACGAGCCGCCUGCCACGGCCAACGAGCCAACGCCCACGCCUGCCACGGCCAACGAGGGCCUCCUGAGCCUCCCACGGCUCCGCCUCCCUCGACUCUGUCUCCUGAGCCUUCCAUGGCUCCGCCUUCCCCGCCUCCGCCACCUGAGUCUUCCAUGGCUCUGCCCGCGGAGUCCUCCAUGGCUCCGCCUUCCACGGCUCCGCCCUCGGAGUUCUCCAUGGCUGUGGUCCUAUGGCCGCCUCCUGACCCAGUCCCUGUCUUGUGGCUUCCACCCAGGCCCCCUGUCCCAGUCCCCGUCCUGUGGCCGCCUCCCAGGCCUCCAGACCCAGUCCCCACCUUGAGGUCAUCCCCUUGGUCUCCAGGCCGUCCCCCAGAUCUGCUUGGGUCCCCUUGGUCUUCUGGCCACCCACCUGAUCUGCUAUGUUCUCCCUCACCUUGCCUUGUUCCUCUGCUCCCCUCGUGGCCCCUUGAACUGCCUGAUUGCCCCUGGUACCCCCUUGAACUGCCUGUUUUCCCUUUUUGUCCCCCACACCCCAUGGACAAUUUUUAGGUUUUUGUCUGUUUUUGGGAGCGUCUAGAAUCCGCUCCUUAGAGGGGUGGCUAUGUCACAAUUCACUGUUUUCUGUCACACAAGUUAUUAUAAUGAAUUUGCAUUUUGUAUCCAAUUUUUAACCUUUCAAAUUCUUGUUAUAUUUGUAAAAAGCUGUGGC